AGGACGAACGCUGGCGGCGUGCUUAACACAUGCAAGUCGAGCGGUAAGGCCUUUCGGGGUACACGAGCGGCGAACGGGUGAGUAACACGUGGGUGAUCUGCCCUGCACUCUGGGAUAAGCCUGGGAAACUGGGUCUAAUACCGGAUAUGACCUGCUCUCGCAGUGGGGGUGGGUGGAAAGAUUUUAUCGGUGCAGGAUGGGCCCGCGGCCUAUCAGCUUGUUGGUGGGGUAAUGGCCUACAAGGCGACGA
rnacentral:rRNA from 1 species